UUUUUUUUUUUUUUUUUUGUAAUAACGCUUUUACUUGUUUUUUAACUGCACUUUUUAAGCAGUAUGAGAAACGUGGGAAGAAUUGAAGAGAACAUAUUAGUGAUCCUCAAUUCUUCCAAACGAGGGAGACCAGGUUAUUCAGGCUAUUGCAUUUGGUUCAGACUCCUAUACAUGUGUUGCUCGUCGUGGAAGGAAAGACGGAUGGAAAAGCCGAGCUCUCUCUCAAGCAUGCAAGAAGGUUCGACUCUCUCCCACCCUUCUCUCGCUCCCAAACCUCGACUUCUCUCUUUCAUUUUCUUGUUGAAAACGAUUGUUUCUUCAGUACUUUCACUCUUAAACUACAAACCAUAAUGUAUUCUCGCUGAAAAUAGUGAAUAUGAUGUCGAUUUGAAGAAAAACUUAGCCCAUAAAAGGUAUUGUUUUCUGUGAGUUCUCCGCUGGAGUAAUUUUAUGCUUUCAAUAUUAUGUGUUUAGAUGUGUAAAUUUGGAUUUAAAAAUAGGUUUUGUGUUCAAAUUUUGUUUUUGUAAUUUUGGGGGGUUUUGUUUCUAACCUCGGAUUCUAUAUCUUCGUGUUUAAUUUGGUUUUGUUUUCAGACUCGGGAGACUUUUUUUUUUUUUCCUUCAGAUUUUAGGGCUUUUCUGUACUCAAGGUAACAUUGGCCUCGAGCUUUCUGUUGAAAGGUUGGGUUGAAUGAAGAAGUAUGUACAUGUUGUGUCCUUGCCUUCAAAGUCACUUUUCAGAAAGUGACUUCAAUCUUCUGGAUUCCCACGUAUGGCUUGAAUUCUAUGGAUCCCCAUCUGAUCGCAAUGUCGAUCUCUUCGGAAAUUUAUAUCCGUUCACCUACUUUCUUUAUGUAUUUUCGACAUUCAACAUCAAACGCUCUUCUAUUAUUUUUACUAAUAUGUAGGUUUAUUGGGAUAUUUGUGCAGCUUAUUCAGUCAUAGUGUGUCAUGGGAUGCUUGGGUGCCUAUAUUGUUAGUCCUGAGUGAUUCUGCCUAAUUGGUGAUCUUAGAUACAUACGAACAGCCAUUCAUGAUUGAUUUUUCCAAGUAUAAACAUUUGAAUCGAACUGUAAGGUAAUCGUGUUGUAAUUAGUGACUCGAAUUGUUUUGCUUUUGUCGUCAAAUUAUGUAGCAGUAGCCAAAUAUAAACAUUUGAAAUAACAUUGCUUAAAAGAGCGGUUUUAGUCCGAACUCAAUUCUUUUCGGGGACAUAUUGUAGGUUGAUUCACAU